rnacentral:lncRNA from 12 species
AUGGUUACAAUCAGUUGUUUUGUAUGUGCAAUACUUUUAGGUGGGAUGCUCUCUGCAGUGUGUCUAGACCCGGUCAAUGAGCCGGAACCCCACCUGCCGCGUGCCUCUUGGACGGCGUGGGCAGAGAGAGUAAGGCUGGCGUGUGAGCCUCAUAUACUUCCCGUCCAGCAAACGAGCUCCGAGGUACAAAAAUGGUUAUUGCUCUGCACUGCGUAGAUUUCAUCAGCAUUUUCAACACGCCUGCAUAGACACACUGCAUUUCCUGAGAAAAGAAGAGCUUACGUUGGCUGUACGUCACCUGGUCGUGUUUGGGGCAGUAAAACAUUCUUGAAAGAGUCAGGUAUUUUACUUUUCAGAAAUUAUUACUUUUCAACAGCGCAUUUGCUUAAGACGAUUAUAAAAUAUAUUUAUUACAAAAAGCUUUUAGUGGGAAUGAUAUUACAUCCAUACUUUCUAAUUCUCUGUUCUUUACUGUCCACUUUACCUUUUCCCAGCUUUCUCUUCAAACUAAUCACUCCUUUACUAGAUCAUUCUCUCCCUUUCCCUAAUCAUCUUUCCCUCUUUUUUUUAAACUUUUAUUUGUUUUGGUUUUUUUAAAAUAUUUUAUUUAUUUAUUUAUUUAUGAUAGACAUAGAGAGAGAGAGAGAGGCAGAGACACAGGCAGAGGGAGAAACAGGCUCCAUGCCAGGAGCCCGACGUGGGACUCGAUCCCGGGACUCCAGGAUCACACCCUGGGCCAAAGGCAGGCGCCAAACCGCUGAGCCACCCAGGGAUCCCCUCUUUCCCUCUUUUUUACACGGAAAUCCACUAGGUAACUACUGUCCAUUCUACAUAUAAUUCAAAUUCUUGAGUGCAUUGAAUGGGCCAGACACUGUGAUAGGUGUCGGAGAGACGGAGCUCAAACAUCCAAACCAAAUCCUCCUCAAGGAGUUACAUGCUGGAAAAUAGCUUGGCCUUCUCUCUGCUGUACACUGUUAUUCAUAAUCUUACACUACAAGUAUUUUUCUUUCUGCCACAUUAACAGUCAUUUUUCUACUUCAAUCUCCUGAAACGUGUUUUCAACAGAGGCUACAUCGAGGUGGUAUUCUUAAAAGGACUUUCUAAAACCCUCGCAUCAUAUGAUUAAAGUCCUUUUUCCAUAGGCCAGGGUCUUCUCUCUGGGGGUGUAAAGGAAGGGCAGAUGAAUCCCUACCUCCCUGCUUGGAAAAAGAUCAGGUAACAAGACAAGGCAAGAUAAAACAGGGAAGGAAGCAGAAACUUGACAUUUACAUUUUGAAUGUGGUAAAAAACUAGGCUUCCCCAAGUUUCCACUCUGUCCUUCCCACCAUGGUUUCAGGGGAUAGAAAGGAAGCCACUAAAAUAGUUUUGCAGAAAGAGUAUACAUAAGCCUGCUGUGAAUCCUGUCGCUCCACGUCAAAGCUAGUCAUCUGAUUGAUCGCAUUGAAAUAUCUGAAAGAUUCUCGGACGGCAGAGCAGUAAGUGUAGAAAGAAGGGUGAGUGCGUAGUCAGCAGCACUCACCAGAAGUGCGGGCCCACGUGGUCUGCGUCCUUUCCAAGGGAUGGGGCUGGCCGGCCAAGGGUAUUGAAAGGUGGGUACCAACGACGUGGAGAGAGACACGGAGAAACCCCAGAGCAAAGACGGAGGGUGUUGACAGGGCUGCCGGGUGCUCAAGCGUCAUCCUUGGGCUCUGAUUCUACGUUCGACCCUUUUGACUUUGAUCAAGUUGGCAUAGUCCUGGACCUUGGGUAGACGACUUUCCCAUAACAGAGUGAAUUAUGUGCCAGAACAUCCAUUAUCGGGGCACCUGGGUGGCACGGUAGGCUAAGCGUCUGACUCUUGGUUUCGGCUCAGGUCGUGAUCUUGGGGUCAUGAGACCGAGCCCCACAUCAGGCUCUGCGCUCAGCACAGCAUCUGCUUGAGAUUCCCUCUCCCUCGGCCCCUGCCCCUCCCACUUGUGCUCUUUCUCUCUCUCUCUCUCUAAUAAAUAAAUAAAUAUUUUUCA